GAUGAACGCUGGCGGCGUGCCUAAUACAUGCGAGUCGAGCGAACAGACGAGGAGCUUGCUCCUCUGACGUUAGCGGCGGACGGGUGAGUAACACGUGGAUAACCUACCUAUAAGACUGGGAUAACUUCGGGAAACCGGAGCUAAUACCGGAUAAUAUAUUGAACCGCAUGGUUCAAUAGUGAAAGACGGUUUUGCUGUCACUUAUAGAUGGAUCCGCGCCGCAUUAGCUAGUUGGUAAGGUAACGGCUUACCAAGGCAACGAUGCGUAGCCGACCUGAGAGGGUGAUCGGCCACACUGGAACUGAGACACGGUCCAGACUCCUACGGGAGGCAGCAGUAGGGAAUCUUCCGCAAUGGGCGAAAGCCUGACGGAGCAACGCCGCGUGAGUGAUGAAGGUCUUCGGAUCGUAAAACUCUGUUAUUAGGGAAGAACAAAUGUGUAAGUAACUAUGCACGUCUUGACGGUACCUAAUGAGAAAGCCACGGCUAACUACGUG
rnacentral:rRNA from 1 species